rfam:Mycobacterium sp. 1274761.0 strain 1274761 contig_46, whole genome shotgun sequence.
GGGCAGGGAUCGCCGAACAACUUGGAUGGAGGCGGGGGACCCACCGGUCCACCGAUAUAUAUGGACCUGGAACCGUAAGCGGUUCCUAGGGGUGAAGCCAACACCGUCGUCACCGACGGCAAGGCCGGGCAACCUCUCCAGCCCGAACCCGACAGCUGACCUCGUGGGCGCAUCAGAGAGGACAC